CAGGGGAGAAACCUCAUGAAUGCAAUGACUGUGGAAAAGCCUUUGGACAAAAGUCAGGCCUCAUCGUACACCAGCAAAUUCACAAAAGGGAGAAACCUCAUGAAUGUAAUGGCGAUGGAAAGGCCUUUGGAUGAAAGUCAGACCUCAUGAAACAUCAGUGAAUUCACACAGGGGAGAAACCUCAUAAAUGUAAUGACUGUGGAAAAGCCUUUGGACAAAAGUCACACCUCAUCGUACACCAGAGAAUUCACAUGGGGCAGAAAUCUCAUGAAUGUAAUAACUGGCAAAGCCUUUGGACACAAGUCUCACCUCAUCAUACACCAGAGAAUUCACACAGGGCAGAAACCUCAUAAAUGAAAUGACUGUGGAAAAGCCUUUGGACACAAGUCAUACCUCAUAUUACACUGGAGAAUUCACACAGGGGAGAAACCUCAUAAAUAAUGAUUGUGGAAAAGCCUUUGGCCAUAAGUUAGGCCUCAUGAUACAUCAGCAAAAUCACACAGAGCAGAAACCUCAUGAGUGUAAUGACUGUGGAAAAGCCUUUGUAUGAAAGUCACACCUCAUAUCACACUGGAGAAUUCACACAGGGGAGAAAACCCAUCAAAGUAAUGACCAAGGGAAAGCCUCUGGAUAAAAGUCAAUCCUUUAGAAACAUCAGAGAAUUCACACAGGGAGGAAACCUCAUGAAUGUAAUGACUUUGGAAAAGCCUUUUGACAAAAGACAAAACUCAUCACAGCAGAGAAUUCACACAGGGUAGAAAACUCAUGAUUGUAAUAACUGUGGAAAGCAUUUAGCCAUAAGUCAACCUUCAUCAUGCAUCAGGGAAUUCACACAGGGCAGAAACCUUAUGAAUAUAAUGACUGGAAAAGCCUUUGGACAAAAGUCAAACCUCAUAAUGCACCAGAGAAUGCACACAGUGUUGAAACUUCAUGAAUGUAAUGACUGUGGAAAAACUUGAUUUUAACUUCCAACUCCAAAUGCAUCAGAAGAUUCACACAGGGAAAUAACCUUAUAAAUGUAAUGACUGUGUAAAAGCCUUUUUCUAUAAGUUAUAUCAAAACAGAAUUCACACAGGGCAGAAACCGUAUCAAUCUAAUGAGUGUGGAAAAGCCUUUAUAAAUCAUAUGUUGUAAAUCAUAGCUCAUAUCACACCAGAGAAUUCACAUCGGAGAGAAACUUCAUGAAUGCAAUGACUGUAGAAAAGCCCUUGGCAAUAAGUCACAUCUCAGAAUGCGUCAGAAAAUUCACAUGAAAAGAAACCUUUUGGACAUAAUGACUUGGAAAGCUUUUUCCCAUAGUUCAGCCCUCAUUGCACAUCAUCUAAUUCAUAUGUGGGAAAACACUUUGUAUAUAAUGCAUAUGGAAAAGCCUUUAUCCAUAAGUAACACCCCAUAAAACAUCAGAAUUCACAUGGGGGAGAAACCACAUGAAUGGAAUGAGUGUUGGAAAACUAUGCCAAUAUCACACAAUAUAACAUCGAGAAUUUAUUACAUGGUGGAAAUCUUGUAAUAAAUGUAGGAAAGCCUUUUGUCAGAAGGAAUACCUCAUAACACAUGUAGUUCAAACAAGGGAUAGAACUUAAGAAUAUAAUGAAUGUGAAGGACUUUUUCCAAAAUCAACAUAACCAUGUGACAGAGCCAUUUGCUGGAAAUUACAUCCCAUACAAUAGGUACUCCCAUAAGGAAGAAAGGUUGGGACCAGCGCUGUGGCACAAGAUCACUCUGCAGCCUGUGUGGAUAGCAGCCUGAAAUGCCAAACCCUGGACCCAGUCUCUGAAAGCUCACCCUCUGACAAGCCAGCUUCAGCGCCUUUCCCUGAACAAGCCAUUCACAGAAAGAUCCUCUUCAGAUCAGCUACAGCUUAAAUGGAAGGGACCUUACCAGGUGCUACUGAACAUGACUACCUCAGUAAAAUUAGGAUUAAAUGUCUACCUCUCAAGUCCUAACAGGUGUACUCAAAAGACAUGCCUGAUUAUUCCUGUAAGCCAGAGAUCUUAAGCAAAAAGAAAAGUAAAGCCUUUGCUUUCCUCACAUCAAGAGUGCUGCACCUGAAGGCAGGCAUGGUGUACCUGCCUCUUUUGAUUCUCUGUUAUUAAUAAUAAAACUCCUAAUGUGUUCUUCUA